GGCUAGCUCAGUGGUUUGCACUUUCGCGUGCUAUGCGGGAGGUCUGGGUUCGAUUCCCGGGAGGAGCA